AUCCUAUACAGAUGUAUUCAACGCAAGAUAGUUGGGCAUCUCCCUGUAGGAUUAAGUUUAUCAGAAGUUCUGACAACAAUUUUCAUUGUGUGGCUACUACAGUCGAAAUGGGAUGAGUUAGGGUGGAAUAGGUUAAUCGUGAGACCUUGAGUUGCAAAAUUCUAAAAUUGAGCUAGGAAUAUGGGUUUCUUAAAUUUUUCUAGUCACGGUGCU
rnacentral:sRNA from 12 species